rnacentral:rRNA from 1 species
CGCUGGCGGCGUGCUUAACACAUGCAAGUCGAACGGAGAAUUUACUCGGUGAAAUUCUUAGUGGCGAACGGGUGAGUAACGCGUAGACAACCUGCCUCUUAGAUGGGGACAACAUCGCGAAAGCGGUGCUAAUACCGAAUGAAGUGGAGCUUCCGCAUGGAAGCAUCACCAAAGGUGGCCUCUAUUUAUAAGCUACCACUGAGAGAUGGGUCUGCGUCUGAUUAGCUAGUUGGCGGGGUAAUGGCCCACCAAGGCGACGAUCAGUAGCCGGUCUGAGAGGAUGAACGGCCACAUUGGGACUGAGACACGGCCCAAACUCCUACGGGAGGCAGCAGUGGGGAAUCUUCCGCAAUGGACGAAAGUCUGACGGAGCAACGCCGCGUGAAGUGAAGAAGGUUUUCGGAUCGUAAAGCUCUGUUGUUUGAGACGAAUGUGCAGACUUUGAAUAAGGGUUUGUAAUGACGGUAUUAAACGAGAAAGCCACGGCUAACUACGUGCCAGCCGCGGC